AUGAGAGAAGAGAAGAAUGGGGCAUCGACGGCGAGGUCCUGGUCAAGGUCCAGCAAGAGCCCGUCGGAGCUUCGGUUGGUGGCGAGGUACGCAUGGCGAAGGAGCGGUUCCCGGUGGCCGCUUGAGCAUCCGGCGGCCAUGGAGCUGUUACAGAGAACAAAGGAGAGGGAUGAGACAUACGGGAGGAGCUCCGGAAGGAAAAGAAGAUGGCACCGGGUGGAUCCGGGCGGUGGCUCAUCGGAGGGUCGCCGGGGCUCCGUUUUGCGACGAGGUUGCGCGGGUGAGAGGCGGCAGCGGUGGGGUCGAGGUCAGGCCAUGGCUUCCCUGGCUCCUAAAGGUCUCAUGUGCAUGAGAGAGAGGGAGAAAACACGCUCAGAGAAGAGCAGAAACAGGGGAAGGAAGAGAAAGGAAAACAAGGGGCUCGACGAGCAGUUCCUGCUAGUGCUCGGCGUCAAGGGAGGUCCGGAGGAGGAUGAAUGGGAGCGCGAGGGUGCAGCUGCUGCUACCGGCAGCCUCACUGGUUGGAUCGAUGGAGGAGAAUCAGGAGGAGAGGUGGAGGCUGCUAGUUGGGUGGAUGGGCAAAACGAGGUGGAUCUGGCAAAUGGGUGGAUGGAUUUGAUGGGUGGCGGCUGCGGCUGA
rnacentral:rRNA from 1 species